UCUAUUAUCGCGUAACCUAGUACAUUUCUUUAUUUUAAAAUAUAUAUUUUUAAAUGGACUACCCAAGUGCUAGUUCUAAGAAAGUAAAUAUAUAUUGUACAAAGAAAAGUACAUCGACUAAAUUAACAUAUAUGAAUUAAAUAAUCACUACAGUAAUAGGCUACAUGUGAACUGAUAAUUACGGUUGGUCACCCAGUCCCUCGAGCCGUACUUGAUACAGGUGAUAAAUAAAUGACGUCUAGGUGAGGCUGUGAACCCAUGAACUAUGGCCUUGAGAAAGGGGCAGACAUUACAGGAGACAUGUUUUUAUAGUGUAUACUGAUCAUCGUUUUGUAUACUGCUCGUUUCUGGCUGGGUUUAAAUCCAUUAUGUGAUUUUUCCCGUAUGCUAAUGACGAUAUAAUAUAUAGGUAGAAGAGCAGUGGUCAGGCAGUACUUCAUAGCUGGCAGUAUUGUGUUUGGAAAACGUUAGUUCUAACGAAAUAAUAAGGCACUGAAAGACCAAACGCAGAAAACGACUCUGCUGAGAAAUAGAAGAUCAGUGGUCAUUGUUGACACACAGCACAAUGUGUCUUCUGCAUUUAACCCACAUGUGACAUUGUGACAGCAGGGGGCAGCUAAUUCACACCCAGGGAGCAGUGCCUUGCUCAGAGUACCUCAGUGGUGCCUUGCUGGUCAGAGAUUCAAACCAGCAAUCUUUCAAUUACAAGUGUGCUUCCCUAACCAUUAACCCACCAAUGCCCACUACCACUCCACACGAUCAUGAGACCACCCAUGCAGACCAUUCCCUAAAUCCAGAGGCGCAAGAACAAGGGCUUUGCUGCAAGUGGAUGAAGAAAAUAUUUCAGCAAUGUGGAGGAUCCCUUGUGUGAUGUAGCUGAUCCUGCUUCUGAUUUUUUGGAAGGAAAUGCUUGAAGCUUGAAUACAGCUCAGAUAGAUAGCAGAGGAUGAAAGAGCUGCUGCAUUCUACCUGCAAAGGAAGGAGGUUCUGGACAGACCGUCACCUGGGAACAGCCCCUUUCUGCUGUUUGGGCAUAGAAGAGGUGGAGGGGGGACAAUUAGGGGGGUAAAUUAGGAGACAAGUAACUUUGAAAUAACUUGUCAUUAAAAUUUUAUUGUCAU